ACUUAUUUAUGAUGAUAAAUCUGACUACAUGUUGGUGGAAAACCCAUAUCAAGAGGAUAUAUAUAGUUGGCUUAUUUCUAUAAACAUGAACACUGACUAUCGUUUUUCAACAUGAGGACUUUUGUUUUCUCACUAGCUUUGCUAUUCCUAACUUUCAUGGUUACUGCGCAAGCCUAUUCAGAAUGUCCAUACGGAAAACCAAGGGUGCAUUGUUAUGUUAACCCGUGUGAGGAUUGGAGGGAACAGUGGAAUUGCGCUAACAUCCCGAAUGCUCGCUGCGUUCCUGACUACUGCGGCGGUUGCUACAGACGCUGGUAUGUGGGGCGGUAUGAUGUGACACGUUAUUGUAGGCCUGGUGAAAGCCGCAGAUAUUAAGAAUAUCAUGUCAUAAUUGUUCAAAGAAUAAAUAAUUGAAC